GCUGAUCCUGAUUCCAAUUAAUUUCCCAUUAGCAGAUUUCCUAAAUCACUAGCAGCAUGCCUAGUUACAGAUGAUGCCAAUAACUCUUGGCACAUAUGGCCUUCCUGCCAUUGUGGGGGGAGCGGGCUGGUGCAGUCAGAAGGGAGAAUUUGGAGGAUCCUGGUGCCUUUCUUAAAUCCAGCUGUGUCAGAGGACAAGAUCACCAUUCUCAAAUAGUCUUUACUGCUCUGAAGGAGAGCAGUUUGUGAGAGUCCUGCCUAAUAGGCUUCUGACAGAGCCAGCUGGCAAAAGAAAGAUCUAAUGAAGAACUUUCACUAAUCAAGAAAGGUGUGUGCCACUAUUACAUCAAAUUGCAAUACUAGAAGCCAUCCCAGGGCAAAAGAGCCAUAUGUCACACAAGUCACUGUGUUGAAAAUGCAGAUUGUGUUGAAGUGGAUCAUUCAUGUGUUGUCAAAAUUUACUACAAUUCAGAAGUUGGAUUAAAAUUCAUCAUAACAUUUUGUUUGAUCUUAAGGGUGACUUGCACAAUAUGGACAAAUAACUUGUUAUAUGGACUUCCUGAAGAAUUUAUCUUGUAUUUUAAUUUGGAGAAUACAAUACUUGAAUUGUUUAAGGGCACAGUGUAGUCACUUAGGGUCUACUUAUUUUCCCUUUCACUGAAUAAUAUUUAGUUUAUUUUCUUAAUUUUCUCUGCCUGUGCAAGAAACAUAAAACCUUUUAGCAUCAGUCCUAGGGUAAAAUAUUGCAAUUUAAAUUCCAAUCCCUAAUCUGUAUUCUGGGAGCUACACUUUUAUCCAUGGCAUCUCCUUGUCUAUUCAAAAGGCCUAUGCAUGCAUAUCCUGGGUUUUGUGCAUACAGGCAUUUAGGUAUUUGAGCAGGCAGGUGUCUCCUGCACAUCACAACAGUGGCAAACACCUCCUGGCCUUUUGGAGCAGAAUGUUCUCCAGGAAAACGAGUUGUCAGAUGUGUGUCAUACCCACAGCUUAAUAACGAAAUAGGUGGAAGGAACCAGUAAUUUCAGCACUGAGUUUUCAUGGCAAGAACUGUACUGUACAAAAGGUAGAACUGCAGUCAUGUAUCUCCCUCUUAUAAGGCAGACCUGAAUGAAGUAGAAGCAGCAGAAUUUAGUAUCUCCCUCAAUGAGACCACAGAGCAAACAAGCCUCUGCCUCCAGCAGCCCUCAUUGAAGAGUCAGCACAUCCAGAGUGCCUCUAUGUGAGAUGAGUAUCAAUUUUAAAAACUGAUGGAGCUGCAAUGGUGGGCACCAAACCAUGCCCUCUCCUUAAAAGUGGUUAUGAAAAUAUAUGCUGUUCUGUGGUGUAACUGGGCCAUGUCCAUGCACACCUGACUUGUGCAGCUGCAGGCUGACACACCAGCAGACAAACCACUGAUUACAAGUGUGUGCAAGCCAGCACUGCACAGUAGCCUCUGCUCAGGCACGGUCAGCAGCACAGCUCUGCAAAUUGCAGGGGGCUGGUGUGUUUUCUGUGAGGUUGCUGAUGUGGACAGAUAGGUUUACCAGCUCUUUUUCCUUCCAGUCCUCAAGUUCAUCAAAGCAGAAAUUAUUAUGAAGCCCAAACCAUACAGACCAACACUGGGAUUAGCUCACUUGGCUGGAGCAUGGUGCUAAUAGUGCCAAGGUUGUGGGUUGGAUCUCUGUAUGGGCCAUUCACUUAAGAGUUGGACUUGAUGAUCCUUGUGGGUCCCAUCCAGCUCAGAAGAUAAAUGUAUGACACAGAUAAAAUGUAUGACACAGUCAACUUUGCCAUACAUGGACUAAUGCCUUACUCUUAAAAAAAAAGACAAACCCUGUAUGUCUUUUAAGGCACAUCUGAAAACUUCCUUUUCUUGUAGCAUCCAAAUUAUAGCCAAACUGAUUUUUGCACCUGUUUUUACUAAUGACUUUCUAAAUACAGAAAGAUUAAUGAUAAUUAUCAAGUUUGCUUGCUUAAAUUUGUAUAAUUGUCUUUGCUCUGUAAUAUCCCACAUAGCCCAUGGUGUUGGCAGACUGGUGUCAGAGGGAAGCUGAAACACUCUUUUGCCAACUCAGCUGUUAGAAACUGCAGUAGGAAAUCAGGGUACCUGCUCAGUUCCCCUCUCCCAGGAAAAAUGGCCCAGAUGCACUUCCCACACUCCCUGCCCUGGGAAGCUUUGUCCAAGGGUUUGGAGACUUUAUGCAGAAGCUCAGGCAAAUGUCCCUGUCACACACUGGCAGAGUUCCAGCCCCACCUGACACGUUCUGCUCUGUGGGACUGCCCAGUGUGCACAAGGGACACGAGUGCAUCAGUGGUAGCAAAGGAUCUGCUGAGGCUGCCAAUACCGGGUUUGACACACCAUCAUAAACAAUGUUUCCUGACAGAAAAGCUUGUAUUAAAUCAACUACCACAAAAUGGCUCUGUUCAUGAAGAACAGUCACGCUAUUUAAUAUGUUUUCAGAGCAAGCUUUUAUGCAGAUGAAUUUGUAUCAUAUCAGGAGGUUAAGAAUAAAACUUUGUCUUUAAAAUACUGUAUUUCCCAGUGUUAGGAAAAAUGAAAGACUAUUGAAAUCUUCUUUAAAACCUUGUUUCCUUUCUAGUCAUUCUUCCUGCAGCAAUAGUGAUAACUCAGUAGGAGUUUAGACACAUAGAACAUGUUUCAGGAGAUUACUGGGAUAAAUCUCUACAUAUACUUUGCACUGGUAUGACAUCAUAGCAAAUGUAGUCUGAAAACUAUUGGGUGUUCUGAAAAACUGGCUAAUCAUGUAAAACCAACCUACAAAGUCAACUCUUAGUGAAAAAGUCUUUUUUUCCAUCUCUUCUCCUUUGAUUAUCCUUCUUUGUGUACCACUUGUCUUUUUCCAUCAAGUGGACAGAAAAAAAGGCAAAACCUAGAAUGAAAGCCCAAGCCAAAGAAACCUUCUGCAUCCAAACAAAAUGAUAUUUGCAACAGGCAGCAGUUAGUUCUAAUUUAGAUAAUCCAAAGUAGGUCACCUUCAUGAGUCUUCCAGACUUUCCAACUUAGCAACUCAGAUGGUUAAUAAAACAAUUUUUAGUUAAUGAGAGAACAUCAGAAAAAAAAAAGAACUGCAGGAAGCUGUGAACUGCAGUAUCUUCUUACUGAGACAGAAUGCCACAUGGCAAGAACAGAUGGGUAAUCCUUCCGUGAUUAUCCUCGACCACUGGCUGAAAGAAAAAGCUGUCACAACAUGGAGGGCUGUAUAUAAAGUACAUAUACAGCCAUUUCCCCUCAUUGAUAGUAAAAGGUUUUUAUGCAAGAGAUUAUAAAGAAAAAGGGAUGCUUUAAUGUGAUGGUGAAGGGAAUAAUUCUUCCAUUUUCCUUCACUUCCUGAAGUGGAGCAUAUGCCAAGGUCCUGAACUAAAUUUAUCUCUCACAAGAAAGGUGUAAUAUACAUUCCACAUCCAUAUCAGGUAUUUCAUACAAACUGAACACAGAACCUGCUUUUAUUGUCUUUGAAUCCUGACACAGUAUGUUCAGUUGACAAUUUAUAGACAGUGUUACCACAAUGAAAUGUUGGUGUCAAAAAUUUGGCUUUUGCAUAUUCAUUGACACCAGAGUUUGCAUUUGUGAUGUGGCAAAAUGAAACCAGGGUGGAUUAAGAAAUGUUUGCUGGAAUCUCAAGUUUUAUGAGAAAUGGAAGGCAUUUCUUGCAAGCAGUGGUCACGUCUCUUUAGACUUUAGUUCUGCCCAUGCACAUAAGAGAGAUCCUGAAUUUUAUAACCCACAUGGAGAGUAGCCUGAUGUAAAAUGAGUACCUGGAAAAGAAUUGUGGUUUUGUUUAUGAAAAGAAAAUGUGGAAGAGUGCAUUUCCAUGGUACAGUAUACCUGAGUUGUGAAGAACACACAUGUAAACCAUAAAAUGACUGAAUUGCAGAACAUGAAGUUAAUGGUGGUUCUGUGGUUCCAAAAAAUCAAAAUACACUUCCUCUACCUUUGAAGUCUAGCAAUAUAUCAGUGUUUAAAACCAAAAAGCAAUGUUUUGGGAACUUUUUGCAGAGCAGACAGUGACCUGUAGUCUGAGAUGGAGAAAUUCUCAAGGAAUAAUUUCUUACCCUGUUUUGCUCUUUCAGAUUGAUGCUUAGACUAGUAAAAAUUCCAGAUUCCCAGGGAAAAGGUCUAUGUCCUCCAUAUGUAUUAAAGGGAUUAGGAGUCUUGUGUUGUUCUGGUAGUGAUGGAAGGGAAAAAAAAGAAAGACUUUGUCACUUCAGGGAAGAAGCCCAGUCUUCAGAAGACAUUGCUACUGCAGAUUACUCAUUAAAAACUGCUCGUGGCCUAUUUCCAACCUUUUCUAUUCCCAAGGCACAUUCUUUAGGUGCUGUGAUUUUUUGAUAUCAUAGGAAUAUAUACAAAUUUGCUAUUUGCUCUGUAUCCUUCACAGAUUCUAAGACUGAGUAUAUUAGAGAUACCCAUUCUCAGACAAAUCAGUUCAUUCACCUUUUUCCCCUUCAUCUCAUAACACAUAUCCAAAAUCUAACUUUUGAUGUGAUAAGGACUUGACUGUUUUUAAGAAAAAUGCUAAUCUUCACUCUGAAAUAACUUAGUCUUCCACUGAUUACAGAAUGUGCUUCAAAACCGCCUAUGAGUCAGGCUGUGAGUUGGAGUUCAGAUAAGCCUGCAGUGUUUGUUCACCAGAUGGACCAUAAGCUCUGCAAAGUAGAGCAAAGGAUAUUGCUUAUUAACACUGCUCCCAACUUCACUUAUUUCUUUGUACAAAGUCUGGUUACUUGAUGCAAUUUUAGACUGGAUUUACACUGUUAGGAGGAGGAAACAAUUUUUUUUAUAACAGGAUGGGUAAAUCUAGCAAAGUAGAUCAGACUAAAAUGGAACUGAGUAUGGUUCCUUUAUUACGUCAUUUUAAGUAGGCAAGAUUGAUACCCUCCAUUUCUCAAACACACCCACACUGAAUUUACAUACCUGUAGAGUGGCAAAAAAAUAUUUAAAUCAAUUAUGUCUUGGGAUUUGAGAGCAAGUUAUCCAAGUCACAGUUGUUACCUGUGCUUAAAACACCAUCUCUUUGACAGUUACGUGCAACCAACGUAAUACUUACAUAAGAAUCAAAUCUGGUUUUUCUCUCAUAUACUUUGUGCUAGAUACUAAUUCUCACCUAACAUGGGGAAUUUUCAGAGCGGUAACUUUCUCAAAGUGUCUUCUGUGUAACCUGAUUAAAUAUUUUCUGAUGCAACACAACUCAAUCAAGCUGCAAUUAUUCAUAAAUGUUAUAAUAAGAAAAUUAAUUUAACAGUUUUAUGCAGUUUAUAAUUUUAGUUUGUUCUUUGGAUUGGUAGACUGGUACUGUUCAUUUCUUCAGUUUCUGUGAUUAUUUUUUUCCAUCUUCAUAUUCUCAAGAUGCUCAACCUUGCCCUUUCCCCUUUUUAGUUUGAAUAAGCACAAGAAAAAAAAAUGUUAUUAAGUAUAUUCUCUUCCUUCUAUUUGGCUGUCUUCUUUAGCUCAGAAGAAGGAUGUUUUAAACAGUUAGUGGUCAUUGGUUAUACCACAGUUUCAAAAAUGAAUGCCAUACCUACUGCAAUGUCCCUUCCAGAUUUUACACAUCUCUAAAUAUGGGGAAAGGAGGAUGUUGAAGGAGGAAGAGUCUGCUCCUCUCUCUGCUCUGCUUUUUCUGUCAGUGCAGAAGUGUCUCAUGCUGGGGCUCCCACCCUUCCACAGGGCUGACUUUACACUGAAGACUCAGAUCUUUAUGGCCUAUAAAUUAUUGUGGUUUGGAUACAAAUCUUCUCUCCAGAAGGGAUUUCAGUAGGACAUGUGUGAGACUGAGCAUGCACUGCUGUUCCUCACUGCCCUAUCAGUCACAGUAAUUAUAUACAGAGAUUAGGAACAGCCAGAGACAUUUCCCAGCAUAAAUGUUACCCCAUAAAAUCUGGAGGAAAUUUUCCAAUAGGUCAUAAAAAUUUUAAGAACCAUGGAUCACCAGUUCAUCACAAUUACUGCUGUGCUCCUUUUACAGAAAGCAGUGUUGCCCUGUGCUGAAGUAUUGCCUGCCUUGGAUGCUGCUGUUAGGGCUUUUAGCCAUUUUAGGGUAUCCUUGGGAAUGAGUCUCCCAUUUCCCAAUGAGGCAUGCAGGAUUGGAAUCAGGUCCUGAGGCUCUUGAGAGUGCUUGGUCAUUUGGCCUCUUCAGAGUCUGUUUCUUUUCUGGCACCAUGGGCACCUCCUGCCAUCUACAAGCCCAAGAGAAGGCAGGGAGCAAUCAUUUACUAGGAGCAUAACUUCCUUCUGAAGAGAAAAGCAUUUAAUCCCUAAUAGAAGAUGCUUUUAUCUUAUAUUUGUCAGCAAAUUUGCUUGACUGUGUUUACAAUGCCCAAUUAUUUGAUAGUUCAAAAUAAAAAAUAUCCAUCAUCUUCCCGAGCUGUGCAGAACCUGUCAGAAUAUUCAGGAACACUUUGAGCCUUUUUCAUUUCUUUGUUCUAACAGCUCAGUUCACUGUACUGUGGGACCAGCAAAUCUGAUGCAUGUGCAACUGGUGUGGAAGCCCAACACUGUCAAAAUUUGUUAUUAUGGGCUCUCUGCCAUCACCCCAGCUGGCAAAAAUGGGACACGGUUCCACUGCAUGAAUGGAAGGCCAGGCAGACGAUGCUCUGCUGUCACACAGGAGGAGCCUUUCUGGGCUGACUUUCCUGGAAGUUCCUAAUGAUGUACUCUGACCUCUCUGUUUUAGAGACGCCUUGCAGUCAGCAAUACUCAGAGAGAGACACUCCUUGAAACUGACACGUGCUUCAUCUGCUCGUGAAAUGUUGCAAUGAAGAGUACCUCCUGUAAAAUUUUAUUGGUAGCCUCACUGGAUCAUUAGGAAAAUCCCCUUAAUAAAGGAUGCUCCUGAAUCUUAUUACUUGUUUAAUUUUGUU